GACAGCAUGGCCAGUGGUUAAGGCGACAGUUUUGAAAGCUGUUUCACUAUGUGAGCGUGAGUUCAAACCUCACUGCUGUCG
rnacentral:tRNA from 1 species